AUUGAACGCUGGCGGUGUGCCUAAUACAUGCAAGUCGAGCGGUAAGGUCUCUUCGGAGAUACACGAGCGGCGGACGGGUGAGUAACGCGUAAGAAUGUACCCCAAAGUGAGGGAUAAGCACCAGAAAUGGUGUCUAAUACCGCAUAUGCUCUUAGGAGUAAAGCUUCGGCGCUUUGGGAACAGCUUGCGUAUGAUUAGCUAGUUGGUAAGGUAAUGGCUUACCAAGGCGACGAUCAUUAGCGGGUCUGAGAGGAUGAUCCGCCACACUGGGACUGAGACACGGCCCAGACUCCUACGGGAGGCAGCAGUAGGGAAUUUUCCACAAUGGGGGCAACCCUGAUGGAGCAACACCGCGUGCAGGAUGAAGGCCUUCGGGUUGUAAACUGCUUUUGUCUGUGACGAAUAUGACGGUAGCAGACGAAUAAGGAUCGGCUAACUACGUGCCAGCAGCCGCCGUAA
rnacentral:rRNA from 1 species